rnacentral:lncRNA from 1 species
GGGGGGGGGGGUAUGGAUCUUUUCUGGAACGACCUAUUUGGAUGGGACAGGAUAUAAUACUUAUGGUACCAGUCACCAGUAUCCAGAAGUGGGAUACUGGAUUCUCAGGGGGGGAUACUAAUCUUUGAAUCCUGGUAUCCCAGUUGGAUACUGAGAAAAAAUAUAAAUUUCAGACCCUAGUUCAAAGUCUAGGACACAAAUUUUCAUUAUUUAUAAAAUUUCUUUAUUUGCUCAAAGAUUCAGAUACAGAGUAUUUUGCAAUUUUUCAAGGAAAAUACCGUAAGAAAAAUAAGCUAAUACCACCAUAACGUAAAUCCCAAUGUCCCCCUCUAUUAGAAUACCGUCCAAAAAUAUUUGAAAAGUAAUGCUGGGUUGUUUUCAUUA